rnacentral:misc_RNA from 1 species
GAUGAAGAACGUAGUGAAAUGCGAUAAGUAGUGUGAAUUGCAGAAUUCAGUGAAUCAUCGAAUCUUUGAACGCACAUUGCGCCCUUUGGUAUUCCAAAGGGCAUGCCUGUUCGAGCGUCAUUUGUACCCUCAAGCUCUGCUUGGUGUUGGGCGUCUUGUCUCCAGUUUCGCUGGAGACUCGCCUUAAAGUCAUUGGCAGCCGGCCUACUGGUUUCGGAGCGCAGCACAAGUCGCGCUCUCGUCCAGCCAAGGUCAGCAAUCCACAAAGCCUUUUUUCAACUUUUGACCUCGGAUCAGGUAGGGAUACCCGCUGAACUUAAGCAUAUCAAUAAGCGGAGGA